CGCUCGAGGAGCGUGCGCAAGUCCUGCUGCUCGAAGCGAGGGGGAGACAUGAUGGACUUUCACGACAGUUAGUGGACGGGUGGCAGGCCGAGCCAGACCCGUGCCCGCCCCGUCCAGUCUAGCUGCGUGAGCUCUCGCCCAGCCCGUAGGGAGCUUGGGCCUUGCCUACCAGCUUUUCCAGGUCCUCCAACCAUCGCCCCUCGGGGUCUCGGCACUGGCCUCUACCGGCGGGUGCCGGAGGAGGGCCUGUGCGGCCACCAGGGUGUCUCCUAGUAAUAGGUUGUCGAAGUCGAG
rnacentral:lncRNA from 1 species